AUUGAACGCUGGCGGAAUGCUUUACACAUGUCAAGUCGAGCGGCAGCGCGGGGCAACCUGGCGGCGAGCGGCGAACGGGUGAGUAAUGCAUCGGAACAUGUCCAUGUCGUGGGGGAUAGCCCGGCGAAAGCCGGAUUAAUACCGCAUACGCCCGAGAGGGGAAAGUGGGGGACCGCAAGGCCUCACGCGAUUGGGUUGGCCGAUGUCCGAUUAGCUAGUUGGUGGGGUAAAGGCUUACCAAGGCGAUGAUCGGUAGCUGGUCUGAGAGGAUGAUCAGCCACACUGGGACUGAGACACGGCCCAGACUCCUACGGGAGGCAGCAGUGGGGAAUUUUGGACAAUGGGGGCAACCCUGAUCCAGCCAUUCCGCGUGAGUGAAGAAGGCCUUCGGGUUGUAAAGCUCUUUUGUCCGGAACGAAACGGUGAACGUGAAUAUCGUUCGCUACUGAC
rnacentral:rRNA from 1 species